UACGGGGGGAGCAAGCGUUGUUCGGAUUUACUGGGCGUAAAGGGCGCGUAGGCGGCGCAACAAGUCACUUGUGAAAUCUCCGGCUUAACCCGGAGCGGUCAAGUGAUACUGUCGUGCUAGAGUGCGGAAGGGGCUACUGGAAUUCUCGGUGUAGCGGUGAAAUGCGUAGAUAUCGAGAGGAACACCCUGCGGCGAAGGCGGGUAGCUGGGCCGACACUGACGCUGAUGCGCGAAAGCGUAGGGGAGCGAACGGG
rnacentral:rRNA from 1 species